GACGAACGCUGGCGGCGGGCUUAACACAUGCAAGUCGAACGGAAAGGCCCUGCGGUUGUGGGGUGCUCGAGUGGCGAACGGGUGAGUAACACGUGAGUAACCUGCCCUUGACUUUGGGAUAACUUCAGGAAACUGGGGCUAAUACCGGAUAGGAGCUCCUGCUGCAUGGUGGGGGGUGGAAAGUUUCGGCGGUUGGGGAUGGACUCGCGGCUUAGCAGCUUGUUGGUGGGGUAGUGGCUGACCAAGGCUUUGACGGGUAGCCGGCCUGAGAGGGUGACCGGCCACAUUGGGACUGAGAUACGGCCCAGACUCCUACGGGAGGCAGCAGUGGGGAAUAUUGCACAAUGGGCGGAAGCCUGAUGCAGCAACGCCGCGUGCGGGAUGACGGCCUUCGGGUUGUAAACCGCUUUCGCAUGUGACGAAGCGUGAGUGACGGUAAUGGGUAAAGAAGCACCGGCUAACUACGUG
rnacentral:rRNA from 1 species